rnacentral:rRNA from 1 species
UACGUAGGGGGCAAGCGUUAUCCGGAUUUACUGGGUGUAAAGGGAGCGUAGACGGCAGUGCAAGUCUGGAGUGAAAGGCGGGGGCUCAACCCCCGGACUGCUCUGGAAACUGUACGGCUGGAGUGCAGGAGAGGUAAGUGGAAUUCCUAGUGUAGCGGUGAAAUGCGUAGAUAUUAGGAGGAACACCAGUGGCGAAGGCGGCUUACUGGACUGUAACUGACGUUGAGGCUCGAAGGCGUGGGGAGCAAACAGG